AAUUGGCUUAGUUAGGAGGCAGAGAUCAAACUGUUUGAUCAAUCUAGGGUUGGUCAUUCAUAAUCCAAGGCCUUUUUGAGGGGACAAUCUUGCUAUUCCUCUAUUGAUUGUCCUCCAAGCAGCCUUAGACAUCU